GGCAUGGUGGGGCAGUGGUUAGCACUGCUGCCUCACAGUAAGUAGGUUGUGGGUUCGAAUCAGGCCUCGAGCCU